rnacentral:rRNA from 1 species
GACGAACGCUGGCGGCGUGCUUAACACAUGCAAGUCGAGCGGUAAGGCCCUUUUGGGGGUACACGAGCGGCGAACGGGUGAGUAACACGUGGGUGACCUGCCUUCAGCUCUGGGAUAAGCUUGGGAAACUGGGUCUAAUACCGGAUGUGACUGUCUGCCGCAUGGUGGGUGGUGGAAAGUUCUCGGGCUUUGGUCUGGGUUCGGCUGGGGAUGGGCCUGCGGCCUAUCAGCUUGUUGGUGGGGUGAUGACCUACCAAGGCGACGACGGGUAGCCGGCCUGAGAGGGCGACCGGCCACACUGGGACUGAGACACGGCCCAGACUCCUACGGGAGGCAGCAGUGGGGAAUAUUGCGCAAUGGGCGGAAGCCUGACGCAGCGACGCCGCGUGGGGGAUGACGGCCUUCGGGUUGUAAACCUCUUUCGCCAUCGACGAAGGUUCUGUGGUUGUGAGGCUGCAGGGUUGACGGCAGGUGGAGAAGAAGCACCGGCCAACUACGUGCCAGCAGCCGCGGUAAUACGUAGGGUGCGAGCGUUGUCCGGAAUUAUUGGGCGUAAAGAGCUCGUAGGCGGUGUGUCGCGUCGGCCGUGAAAACCUGCAGCUUAACUGUGGGCGUGCGGUCGAUACGGGCAUCACUGGAGUUCGGCAGGGGAGACUGGAAUUCCUGGUGUAGCGGUGAAAUGCGCAGAUAUCAGGAGGAACACCGGUGGCGAAGGCGGGUCUCUGGGCCGAUACUGACGCUGAGGAGCGAAAGCGUGGGGAGCGAACAGGAUUAGAUACCCUGGUAGUCCACGCCGUAAACGGGUGGGCGCUAGGUGUGGGGGCCAUUCCACGGUUCUCUGUGCCGCAGCUAACGCAUUAAGCGCCCCCGC